rnacentral:ncRNA from 1 species
GCUUAGCCGUAAACCUAGGUAAUUAAAUAACAAAAUUACUCGCCAGAGAACUACUAGCAACCGCUUAAAACUCAAAGGACUUGGCGGUGCCCUAGACCCCUCCUAGAGGAGCCUGUUCUAUAAUCGAUAAACCCCGAUAUACCUCACCCCUUCUCGCUCAACAGUCUAUAUACCGCCAUCGUCAGCUCACCCCAAUAGGGGCCCAAAGUGAGCAAAAUCAUCAAAUCAAUAAAAACGUUAGGUCAAGGUGUAACAUAUGGAAGGGGGAAGUAAUGGGCUACAUUUUCUAUACUAGAGCAUAACGAAUUGUCAACUGAAAUAAAGACAUGAAGGAGGAUUUAGUAGUAAAUUAAGAAUAGAGAGCUUAAUUGAAAUAGGCAAUAGGGUGCGUACACACCGCCCGUCACCCUCCUCAAUAAAGUAACUUUUAAUACCUAAUUACAAUACACCAAAAAGAGGAGAAAAGUCGUAACAUGGUAAGUGUACUGGAAAGUGUACUUGGACAACCAAAAUG